ensembl:lincRNA Gm43821 predicted gene 43821
UUUGCUUAAACAGAUAUCUCUAUCCAAGAAGAAAUAAGCCAAAGGGGUAUUUUCCAGAAAGGACAGGGAAAAAUGGGGCUCAUGGACUCAUUCAUACAUGAAUAAGCACAAAAGUCCUUGGAACUAUACACCACAAAAAUAAAAUUCCAACUGGACAACAAAAAGAGGUUCUAGAGCCAUAAUCAAAGCUAGCUAGACUCAAUGGAUUUCCCUUUGAGGAGUGACUGGUAGAUAUUUCAGGAUUUCAUUAACUGUAUUGAACACAUAACAGAGAUGGUAGUCUAUUUCUUGUUUGUGGUAAAUGGUUUCAUGGGAACCAAAAGCAAUAUACACUCAUCAAACUGCGUUGAAUUGCUUCAUAUUCCAAGCCUUGUUUAAAAAAAAAAAAAGAAAAGAACAACAUUAUUAACCAAGGUUGACUUAACCACAACUCCCGUUGGCUUCUGUGGGAGUUUUGCCAUGGCUGAAGGCCACAAAUAAGACCCAUGCUCCUGGUAAUAAAAAGGCUGCCCAGAUACUGUGGAAAAGUUGCUGAACCUCAGAGUGAAAGAAAACACUUUUCUGUCACUGGAGACGGCUCCAUGUUGACUUCCAUUAAAACGUAACCUGAGCCCAGGAUGCAGAUGAUUAGAAUGUUCUUGGAAUAAUGGACAAAGCUUAUUUUACCCAAAGAGCAAUCAUGCUCUCCAGACAGGGGUGUGUGUAGAGGGAACAGGGGUGCUGGCUCC